UUGAACACACUAAGAGGAAUAUGCCGUGAACAAGAAACGGUAGUCGGCAUUUUAGACACGUAUAUUUUACAGACCCAAAAUAUGCCUUAUUUCUUUGUAUUAUAGCUAAUUAUUGUAUAAAUAAUUAAUUAAUUAUUUUGCAAUUUUGCUUCUAAUACUAUUAUAGUUGUAUUUUAAUGAAAAAUAAUAGUAUUAAAACGGUUUUCUUCUUUUGAAAUAAUUUAUUGCUAGUCCUGUUUCUAAUCGACUUUACUUGUGUAUUUUAAGCUUUUUUGUUGCUGUGCUUUUUCUGGAGAUUUUAGUUGGAUUGGAAAGCUCCUGUGUAAGGUACCCUUUUCUAAAGAAAUAUAGAAGUAAUUUGUACAAUUAUAACGCGGCGAGCUGUGUUUUAUUUUAUUGUUUCUAAGAAGAUGUAAGAAUACAAUAUUAUCAAUUUUAAUUGGUUUUAUCCAAAUCAAGAUUGUGUACAAUGGGAGUGAGUGAUGUAAUCUUCUAAUGCGUGUGGUGAAAAGAAGGCGAAACCGUUAUUGUUUUUCUGCCCAAAUUUGAAGCUAUUUAUUAAAUCUUGAUGAAGUAAAAAAAAACUGUUUUGAUUUGUUUGUUUUUAUUGUAAUUGUUUCCCGUGAGUUUUCGAAAUUCGUUCCAGCAGAUUCUGUGGCUUCUAUUGCCGGUAUUUUUACGUGAAAAAAAUACUGCUUUGUUGUAAGGUCAUUUACGAAAUCGUUAACGUUAGGACCAACUUCUGCGGGUUGUACAACUCGAUGUAUUACAUAUCUUUCAGAAUACUGCUAAAAGUGUGAUUUUGUAUUGCGCUCUUUACUUUUAUCAUUCUGUAGGAAAAGGCGGUACAAAAUUUUAACACGCGUUAUUCGUUUUUGUUAGUUACGCGUAAUCUAAUUUUUUCGCACAUUAUGAAAAGAAUAUCCCACGCACAUCAAAUACUCGCGCAGUC